AGAGAACAUCUUGAACUCCGACUGGAUGGAAAAUCAGGUGCUUCUACCAGCACAAGGGGAAGUCAGGCAGCCACAGCCCAUGUCCACUUCGACUUCGGCCUCACGGUCCCAGUGACCUGCCGAGUGGGAAGAGCCGUGGCUGGCCGGCCUCCCAGUGGCGACGACGACCUCGCUGUGUUCGUGGCAGCGGCACUCUCAAAUCUGGGCACGGUGAUGGGAAGGUUAUUUGUUGGAAUCCCUUUGCCUUUCCAAGGGAAAAUAAACACAAAAAGUGAGAA
rnacentral:lncRNA from 1 species